GGAGGUAGCUCCGUGGUAGAGUGCUUGCCUAGCAUGUGGGGGGCCUAGGUUCCAUCCCCAGCACCA
rnacentral:tRNA from 1 species